AUGUGCAAAGGAAGAACCUUCCAGAAUCACCCUCAUGUACCCCUAUGCUCUGUACAUACCCAGCGCUCUGCACUGAGGCAGACCCUAAAGCUGCAGUGGGAAUGGAGGUGGAUACACUUAUGGAAAGAAAGACUUCUUCAAAGAAUGGUGGCGACCCAGGUCUCCCCUUCUGCUGUGGCUCUUAGAGGACCUGGAGUUGGAGAGGGGAAGUCACUGGCAUGUGGAGGAAGACUAGGAGAGGAGGGGGAGGCCAAAGUGUGUCCCACCUUCACUCCACCUCUCUGCUCUCUCUCUCCUAUAUUGAGCGCCUCCCUCCCCAGAGUUGUGGUCACUGAUAAGGAGGACCCUGAGGGCAACCACACCUUGCCAUGCAGAGCACCUGGCUUCUCACCUGCCAACCUCACUCUGACCUGGCUGCAGGAAGGGAAGGAGCCAACUCUGGACUCAAGAUUCAAGGGGACCAGACCCAGAGAGAUGAGACAUACCAGGACUGGGCAGCUGUGGGGGUCCUUCCAGAGAGGAGCUGAGAUACACCUACCUGGAGGGGCCCCAGGGCCUGGAGGGGCUCCUCAGUGUGACUGGCCCCAGGCUCUGGCCUCUCUCUCUCCUCUUCUACCCUCUAGCCGGUAAUGACUGAUUUCCCACUGAGGAGCCAGCUCUAGGUGAGAGUCUGGGCUCUCGGUGAGGUUGGGAGAAGGAAAAGGCUUAUGGGCCAGGGGAUGGGAGGGAGAAUGGGCACAGCCAGAGCAGAAGUGAAAGGGUUGGGGGAGGCGAUAAAGACAGAUGUUUCCAUAUCACCAUUUUUCUUUCAUGGUCCAAGGGAGCUGUCCUUCCUCCAGGCCCAGGGAAGUGAAAAAAGAAGCAGGAACAGUGAAAUACGCCACAGGAAAGAAAAAUCUUAGUGAUCCCUCCUGCUGUCUCUCUCCUUUUGUCUAUUCUGGCAAAUUUUGUAAGUGAAAUUUGUUACCAAGAUGUGAAAAUCUUAUUAUAAGAAAGUCUCUAAAUAUUUGAGAAUAAAAUGAUCAAUGUCUCAGCUCUGCAGGCUGAAAAAACAGAAUCUUUACAAAAUAAAAUCAUGUUUGGAAAACUUCUCCUCUGAGGGAUAUCAAAGCCUGCACUGAAUAAGCUCUAAGGAGGUGCUGAAAUGACUGCCAUUUAUUUGCCUGUGUAAGCUCAGGCAGGUGUUGGAAUUGAGGAAGGAUAGGUAAUGAAAAAAGUAACCAUGUGCUUGGGGCACAGUGACGGUGAUGACCACAGAAUCAACACAAUAAGCUCUAGCAUUUGCAUCGUAGUCCAGUUCAUUCAAGCAAAGCUAUCUCCAAUAGGGAAUUUACCCUGUACAGAACAUGUGCAUUUUGAUUUCACCUUUUCUAACUGACCCUUUGCUCAUGACAAUAGUGAAAAAAUACAGCCCUGGGUGGAGAUUUAAGAUACUAACGAGUCAUGAGAUGUAUGAACAUGCAUGUACAGCUACUGCACAUGUGCACCAAGAAGACCACCCAGAACAUGCUCACUAGUAACCCCUCUUCCCACCCACCUCCUACGAAUAAUCAUGUAAGACUCCCAUAAAGGGAGUUUCUCCAGCAGUAAUCAAUGCUGCCUCAUCCAUAGGAGCAGCCCGCCCUGAAUCCUCUCUCUCAGGGUAUACAGUUUAUUUUGCACUUAACUUUCAAAAUAGUAUUUUUCCUUUGUAAUAAAUUGCUUUGUACUUCUCCUUUGCUGCAUGUUUCUUAUUUAAAUUCUUUUAAAUGAAGAAGUCAAAAACCACAGUAUUACAACAGCCGUCAACAUUUCUGGUGCCAUGACUCAGACAGAGGUUUGUAUGCUUCAUUGGUUUCAGUUCCCCUUCACUCCUGGUGAGUGCUGUGGCAGCCCCAGACCCCUGAUUGACUAUCACUGCUUUCCCCAGAUCUAUUCUAUGAAGGUUUUGGGGGAGGACCUUUUAAAUCACUCACAUUAUUUGAGCAAAGAAGGAGCGAAACUUCGUCUCAAAAAUAAAAAUAAAAGAUAAUAAACAAUGCGGCAAAGAAUUAAACUCUUGAUACGAUCCUCACCAUUUUAAGGG
ensembl:lincRNA